AAUUUGUGGGCCCUGAUAGCGAUGACGAGUAUUUGGAUGCUGAUUAUAAUUUGGAUGAGCUCUUCUCCUACCUUGUCCGCAUACCUGGCCUGAAGGAGGUGAAAAUGCAGCUGGAAAGAUGUCUCAAUAACAGCUGGGAAUCUGACGUCCUCUCCUUAGUCAACCGCCAUCCCACUCUACAGAGAAUACGGUUGAAGUUCAAAUAUAUUGAUGAACAUAUGAUGGAGCAAAUAAAGGAAAUAAAAAUAAAGCGUCCAGACUGCACUGUGAUCAUCAAAGGGGUGCGAAGGGUGGGCCAUUCAAUCCAGGAGGCAGUCUUCGAUGAGACCUACAUAUUUCGAAAGAACUUCGUUAGUUGUCAUGUUGUCAUGAAAGAGCUUCCCUC